rnacentral:tmRNA from 1 species
GGGGCCGUCAUUGGUUUCGACGGGAACAUUAAGUUAUAAAUUGCAAACCGUAGGUAUACGUUAAAUCCACAAUAAAAAUAACUGGAAACAGAAAUCAAUUAGCUUUCGCUUAAUUUUUUAGAAGGCAGUCUACUUAUUUGUUUUCUUGCGACGAAUAUUUAGGCUUGAUAAAGCAAGAUAUAUCAUUCGAUGAUUAGUAAGAAUGAUGAAUAAUUGCUAAUCUAGUUAGUAAUUUAUUUGUUUAUUUAUUUAUUACUAGUGAGCUUAUAAAUAAACUAAGUUUGUAGAUGUUUAUAAUACUUAAGUUUUCGGACAGGAGUUCAACUCUCCUCGGCUCCACCA